GACAAAUUUGAACACUAAUCAAGCCGACAGGGCGGAACCACUGCACCACCACCUUUUGAGAUCUGAGGGGUGCAGAUCAAGUCAAGCACUACCUUCUAGUGAGCGUUUGCCGCUGUGAUAUAAGAGGCAUCUGCGCAUGCCUCUACUCUCAGGAAAGACCGCGUGAGCCAAUCAGAAUCCUUCUCCGAGAGCUCUCGUGGUGCUGAGGCAGGAGUCUUUCCCUGUCAUUCCUGGCCAGAGAAUAGCGGGGUGGCUUGUGAGACCACUCUGCCUGUGGAUGGCAGGAAGCCAGGGGGACCGAGGAGGCAGAAAAGGAAGAGGAUGAUGAGGAAGAAAAAAAUUUAAAAGCAGGAGGGAGAGAGAGAACGAACGGGAGCCAGAAGAGAGCGAAAGAACAGGAAGAGGAAACAGAGAAGAGGAGGACCCGUGAGCAACCAGGAGAGCUGCCGUGAGCGAGUAGAUGAACUAUCCCCCUGUCCUGUGAGCUGGAUUUUUUCACAGGAGCUGGGGCAGGGCGAGGGUAGGGGACAUAGGGUGUAGGUCCCCACCGGGUUCUAGCAGCUGGCCAGGCACCGCCACCACCUUGUAAAUGGGAGCAGUGUUGGAAGCAAAUGUGUGCUUCUGUGCGGGUGGGGGUGUGGUGGGGUGCCCCUCCCUUCCCCCACCCUGUCCCAACCUUCCCAGCACCUGUCAGGAAACACUGACCCCAUUGCGGGGCUCAGCUUUACACGGACUCUGUCUAACACCUUGUAAAAAAGGGCACCGGUGCAGAAGAUUAAAGGGCACCAUUAAGUAA